rnacentral:sRNA from 1 species
GAGAAGCUUCGACUAAGGUUCGACUCGAGCGAAGCGAGAGAACGUUGCCGCAGGCAACGGCCCGAAGGGCGAAGCGCUUUAGCGCCGAGUAAUCCUUCCCCCACCACUG